UUAAGCGACUAAGCGUACACGGUGGAUGCCCUGGCAGUCAGAGGCGAUGAAGGACGUGCUAAUCUGCGAUAAGCGUCGGUAAGGUGAUAUGAACCGUUAUAACCGGCGAUUUCCGAAUGGGGAAACCCAGUGUGAUUCGUCACACUAUCAUUAACUGAAUCCAUAGGUUAAUGAGGCGAACCGGGGGAACUGAAACAUCUAAGUACCCCGAGGAAAAGAAAUCAACCGAGAUUCCCCCAGUAGCGGCGAGCGAACGGGGAGGAGCCCAGAGCCUGAAUCAGUGUGUGUGUUAGUGGAAGCGUCUGGAAAGGCGCGCGAUACAGGGUGACAGCCCCGUACACAAAAAUGCACAUACUGUGAGCUCGAUGAGUAGGGCGGGACACGUGGUAUCCUGUCUGAAUAUGGGGGGACCAUCCUCCAAGGCUAAAUACUCCUGACUGACCGAUAGUGAACCAGUACCGUGAGGGAAAGGCGAAAAGAACCCCGGCGAGGGGAGUGAAAAAGAACCUGAAACCGUGUACGUACAAGCAGUGGGAGCCUCUUAAUGGGGUGACUGCGUACCUUUUGUAUAAUGGGUCAGCGACUUAUAUUCUGUAGCAAGGUUAACCGAAUAGGGGAGCCGAAGGGAAACCGAGUCUUAACUGGGCGUUAAGUUGCAGGGUAUAGACCCGAAACCCGGUGAUCUAGCCAUGGGCAGGUUGAAGGUUGGGUAACACUAACUGGAGGACCGAACCGACUAAUGUUGAAAAAUUAGCGGAUGACUUGUGGCUGGGGGUGAAAGGCCAAUCAAACCGGGAGAUAGCUGGUUCUCCCCGAAAGCUAUUUAGGUAGCGCCUCGUGAAUUCAUCUCCGGGGGUAGAGCACUGUUUCGGCAAGGGGGUCAUCCCGACUUACCAACCCGAUGCAAACUGCGAAUACCGGAGAAUGUUAUCACGGGAGACACACGGCGGGUGCUAACGUCCGUCGUGAAGAGGGAAACAACCCAGACCGCCAGCUAAGGUCCCAAAGUCAUGGUUAAGUGGGAAACGAUGUGGGAAGGCCCAGACAGCCAGGAUGUUGGCUUAGAAGCAGCCAUCAUUUAAAGAAAGCGUAAUAGCUCACUGGUCGAGUCGGCCUGCGCGGAAGAUGUAACGGGGCUAAACCAUG
rnacentral:rRNA from 1 species